rnacentral:rRNA from 1 species
UACGUAGGGUGCGAGCGUUGUCCGGAAUUAUUGGGCGUAAAGGGCUCGUAGGCGGUCUGUUGCGUCUGGGGUGAAAGCUCAGGGCUUAACCCUGAGCCUGCUUCCGAUACGGGCAGACUAGAGGUAUGCAGGGGAGAACGGAAUUCCUGGUGUAGCGGUGAAAUGCGCAGAUAUCAGGAGGAACACCGGUGGCGAAGGCGGUUCUCUGGGCAUUACCUGACGCUGAGGAGCGAAAGUGUGGGGAGCGAACAGG